UAGGGAAUCUUCCGCAAUGGACGCAAGUCUGACGGAGCAACGCCGCGUGAGUGAAGAAGGAUUUCGGUUCGUAAAACUCUGUUGUUAGAGAAGAACAGCGCAUAGAGUAACUGUUAUGCGUGUGACGGUAUCUAACCAGAAAGUCACGGCUAACUACGUGCCAGCAGCCGCGGUAAUACGUAGGUGGCAAGCGUUGUCCGGAUUUAUUGGGCGUAAAGCGAGCGCAGGCGGUCAAUUAAGUCUGAUGUGAAAGCCCCCGGCUCAACCGGGGAGGGUCAUUGGAAACUGGUUGACUUGAGCGCAGAAGAGGAGAGUGGAAUUCCAUGUGUAGCGGUGAAAUGCGUAGAUAUAUGGAGGAACACCAGUGGCGAAGGCGACUCUCUGGUCUGUAACUGACGCUGAGGCUCGAAAGCGUGGGUAGCAAACAGG
rnacentral:rRNA from 1 species